rnacentral:hammerhead_ribozyme from 1 species
AGUCGAAACGCAUUGAUGCGUCUCCCGGAGAUGGCUUCCCGGGACUGAUGAUGGCAGGCUGGA